rnacentral:rRNA from 1 species
CAGUAGCCGCGGUAAUGCGAAGGGGGCUAGCGUUGUUCGGAUUUACUGGGCGUAAUGGGCGCGUAGGCGGACUGAUAAGUCAGGGGUGAAAUCCCAAGGCUCAACCUUGGAACUGCCUUUGAUACUGUUUGUCUUGAGUUCGAGAGAGGUAAGUGGAACUGCGAGUGUAGAGGUGAAAUUCGUAGAUAUUCGCAAGAACACCAGUGGCGAAGGCGGCUUACUGGCUCGAAACUGACGCUGAGGCGCGAAAGCGUGGGGAGCAAACAGGAUUAGAUACCCCCGUAGUCCCUGUCUCUUAUAC